rnacentral:hammerhead_ribozyme from 1 species
CUGAAGAGUCCCACAAUAGAACGAAACGGCCGUC